GAUGAACGCUGGCGGCGUGCCUAAUACAUGCAAGUCGAACGCUUGAGUUCAAGCUUGCUUGAACAAGAGAGUGGCGAACGGGUGAGUAAUACAUAAAUAAUCUGCCCCUUUACCUGGGAUAACGGUUGGAAACGAUCGCUAAUACCGGAUAGGUGUACCGAAGGCAUCUUUGGUACAUUAAAGAUGGGUUACAUCAUAAAGGGAUGAGUUUAUGGCGCAUUAGCUAGUUGGUGAGAUAAAAGCCCACCAAGGCGAUGAUGCGUAGCCGACCUGAGAGGGUGACCGGCCACACUGGGACUGAGACACGGCCCAGACUCCUACGGGAGGCAGCAGUAGGGAAUUUUCGGCAAUGGGGGCAACCCUGACCGAGCGACGCCGCGUGAGUGAAGACGGCCUUCGGGUUGUAAAACUCUGUUAUCGGGGAAGAAUGGAUACUAGAGGGAAUGCUAGUAUAUUGACGGUACCCGAUGAGGAAGCCACGGCUAACUACGUGCCAGCAGCCGCGGUAAUACGUAGGUGGCGAGCGUUAUCCGGAAUUAUUGGGCGUAAAGGGUGCGUAGGCGGCUAUUUAAGUUUAAGGUUAAAGUUCAGGGCUCAACCCUGUGAUGCCUUAGAAACUGGGUAGCUAGAGUACAGGAGGGGUCAGUGGAAUUCCAUGUGUAGCGGUAAAAUGCGUAGAUAUAUGGAGGAACACCAGUGGCGAAGGCGACUGACUGGCCUGUAACUGACGCUCAUGCACGAAAGCGUGGGGAGCAAAUAGGAUUAGAUACCCUAGUAGUCCACGCCGUAAACGAUGAAUACUAAGUGUUGGAGAAAUUCAGUGCUGUAGUUAACGCAAUAAGUAUUCCGCCUGGGGAGUAUGCACGCAAGUGUG
rnacentral:rRNA from 1 species